rnacentral:rRNA from 1 species
CAGUCGCCACGGUAAUACGAGGGGGGCAAGCGUUGUUCGGAUUUAUUGGGCGUAAAGGGUGCGUAGGCGGUUUGGCAAGUCUUGUGUGAAAUCUUCGGGCUCAACCCGAAGCCUGCACGAGAAACUACCGGGCUUGAGUAUUGGAGAGGUGAGUGGAAUUUCCGGUGUAGCGGUGAAAUGCGUAGAUAUCGGAAGGAACACCUGUGGCGAAAGCGGCUCACUGGACAAUAACUGACGCUGAUGCACGAAAGCUAGGGGAGCAAACAGGAUUAGAUACCCGCGUAGUCCCUGUCUCUUAUAC